GCCUUUCAUAUAACUCUAUGUAAUGGAAAUAAAUGAAAUUGUCUCAAAAGGAACUGUUCAGAAUGUGCAUGAGAAGUAUGGAAGCGCAAACUGUUUUAGAAUUGAAGGGACAAAAUACAAAAGAACAAGAACUUCAUAAGUGCUUCAUGUAUACAUUGGUUCAGUAUUUAUUUUUGAAAGAUGAGAGUUGCAUGGAAGACACUGAAUCACCUCGCUGCAGACAAGCAGGUAAAAACAGUGAAUAAAAUUCUUGAAGGUGACUGUGGGGACAAUGGCAAGCUUCUCUCCAAGUGACAGCCCUGGUGAAGGAGGACCUUUGGCUGACCUCAUUCACUGUAGAACUGCUGCUUCAUGAGUCAGGGAAAGGAUGAUGAGGCCCCUGAGCCUUCCUAGCAUACUGUGUCUGGAGCAGAAGGUGGGCUCCUGAGGGGAUCACCUGCUUUUUAACUACACACAUGUAUGACAGCCUAAGCAACAGGUAUCUCGUGGCUGUAUGAGAAGCUCAUACCAGGAAUAAAGUAUUCUGCCUGUGAGAUGGAGGAAGAGGAGCCCUGCGGUCAAGAUUGAAGCAGUGAGGAGUCACCUAUCUUGCUGAGCUGGGAUGGAAGAGGGAAGCAGUCUUGGUUUCAGUAAUUUAAAUUCUUAACUAUUUUAUCAGAUUUUCCUCAAUAAUCUCAAAUAGGUGUUCUUUCAUUAGUGAUUUUUCAGUAGGAUCUUUCUCAGAGGCUUAAGUGGUUUCAGUUGUCACUAUAAUUCUUAGCAGUAUGAAUGGAAAAAGGAUCGGUGAACUUUUCCCAUGUCAGACAUUGCUCUCCUGUAGUUAUAUCUUUAAAUGUCACUCUUUUGCAUUACUAUAAAUAUUUAGAGAAAAAACAAUAUAAUGAUUGUGAUGUAAUUCAAACUAUUCUGGGGAAGUAUUUGGGGCUAUUGAUCACAUCUAUUGAAACUGCAAAAAAUGAAUCAACUUAAUUUAAUUAUGCUCUCUCCUUAGGAAUUGAUAUAUGUUAUGUACACAUACAUAUGUGGAUGUGAAGUUUCUGACAUUAACUUGAGAGUGGAUAUAAUAAAUUUUUAGCAAUGGCUGCCAGUGGGAAUGGAAACUGGUGCCAGGGCAGGACAGAGUGGUAAGAGUUAUAUAUAUUAGUUAUAUCACAUACCUUUUUCUCAAAAAAUAACUUUAGAUGAUUCUAAAAUGUGACCAUGUUUAGAAGCAAUUAAUAUAAUGCAGUUUAUUGUUUUAUAUAAAUGGUCCUGUUUGAAAUCAUGUAGGAAGUUGGUGACCAUGUCAGGAUUUAAAUCUGUGUCCUCUAUCAUCUCAUUUAUGAUCCAGGUCUCUUUUAUGUAAUGCUGAACUGUCAUCCUGAUGUCAGAGCACUUUCAUUUUAGACCUCAGAAUGGAAGGGAAAGCCUUAGUAAGAAGUUUAAUGUUAUAUAGUUGUAACAUUUGAAAAAAUGUACAUCACUAUUGUGUUGCAAAUAUACACUAAUAAAAGAAAAAAAUUACGUGAAUACAUAUGCCAACAAAAAAAAUUGAAGAAUCCAAAUUAGCAUGCACC
ensembl:lncRNA